UACGGAGGAUGCAAGCGUUAUCCGGAAUGACUGGGCGUAAAGCGUCCGCAGGUGGCAAUGUAAGUCUGCUGUCAAAGCGUCUGGCUCAACCAGAUAAAGGCAGUGGAAACUACAUAGCUAGAGUAAGGUAGGGGUAGAGGGAAUUCCUGGUGUAGCGGUGAAAUGCGUAGAGAUCAGGAAGAACACCGGUGGCGAAAGCGCUCUGCUGGACCUUAACUGACACUGAGGGACGAAAGCUAGGGGAGCGAAUGGG
rnacentral:rRNA from 1 species